GCGGGGUCAGGCGUGUUGGGGAUGACGCCCAGGAUGGUGCUUUGCAGCGACGUGCCCUUCAGAAGGCGGCUCCGCACCAGCUGCAGGUUGCGGGCCGAGUCCACGCUGGUGCGCAUGGUGGAGCCGGGCAGCAGGACGCCCUCGUGGGUGAGCAGCAGCGGGAGGCGACUGGGGAUCUGGAUGGGGCUCACUGAUGACAUGCUGGCAGCCUUUCGCACUGGGGGCUGUCAAAAAGAGCCAGACAGACAGCUGCCCCCGGCCUGCCCCGCAGUCACCAAACCUCAGACCCGCCUCCACGCCUCCGCUUCCGGCUACGCGCUACGGUCCGUCCCCGGGCCCAAAAGCCAUGGCUUCGCGCUGCUCUCUAGGAGAGCCUCCCGAAUUGGCAGGAACUGAAAAUGACUAGGAAGAGGACAUACUGGGUGCCCAACUCUUCUGGUGGCCUCGUGAAUCGUGGCAUUGACAUAGGCGAUGACAUGGUUUCAGGACUUAGUUAUAAAACCUACACUCUCCAAGAUGGCCCCUGGAGUCAGCAAGAGAGAAAUCCUGAGGCUCCAGGGAGGGCAGCUGUCCCACCGUGGGGGAAGUACGAUGCUGCCUUGAGAACCAUGAUUCCCUUCCGCCCCAAGCCAAGGUUUCCUGCCCCCCAGCCCCUGGACAAUGCUGGUCUGUUCUCCUACCUCACCGUGUCAUGGCUCACCCCGCUCAUGAUCCAAAGCUUACGGAAUCGCUUAGAUGAGAACACCAUCCCUCCACUGUCAGUCCAUGAUGCCUCAGACAAAAAUGUCCAAAGGCUUCACCGCCUUUGGGAAGAAGAAGUCUCAAGGCGAGGGAUUGAAAAAGCUUCAGUGCUUCUGGUGAUGCUGAGGUUCCAGAGAACAAGGUUGAUUUUCGAUGCACUUCUGGGCAUCUGCUUCUGCAUUGCCAGUGUACUCGGGCCAAUAUUGAUUAUACCAAAGAUCCUGGAAUAUUCAGAAGAGCAGUUGGGGAAUGUUGUCCAUGGAGUGGGACUCUGCUUUGCCCUUUUUCUCUCCGAAUGUGUGAAGUCUCUGAGUUUCUCCUCCAGUUGGAUCAUCAACCAGCGCACAGCCAUCAGGUUCCGAGCAGCUGUUUCCUCCUUUGCCUUUGAGAAGCUCAUCCAAUUUAAGUCUGUAAUACACAUCACCUCAGGAGAGGCCAUCAGCUUCUUCACCGGUGACGUAAACUACCUGUUUGAAGGGGUGUGCUAUGGACCCCUAGUACUGAUCACCUGCGCAUCGCUGGUCAUCUGCAGCAUUUCUUCCUACUUCAUUAUUGGAUACACCGCAUUUAUUGCCAUCUUAUGCUAUCUCCUGGCUUUCCCGCUGGAGGUAUUCAUGACAAGAAUGGCUGUGAAGGCUCAGCAUCACACAUCUGAGGUCAGCGACCAGCGCAUCCGUGUGACCAGUGAAGUUCUCACUUGCAUUAAGCUGAUUAAAAUGUACACAUGGGAGAAACCAUUUGCAAAAAUCAUUGAAGACCUAAGAAGGAAGGAAAUGAAACUAUUGGAGAAGUGCGGGCUUGUCCAGAGCCUGACAAAUAUAACCUUUUUCAUCAUCCCCACAGUGGCCACAGUGGUCUGGGUUCUCAUCCACACAUCCUUAAAGCUGAAACUCACAGCGUCAAUGGCCUUCAGCAUGCUGGCCUCCUUGAAUCUCCUUCGGCUGUCAGUGUUCUUUGUGCCUAUUGCAGUCAAAGGUCUCACGAAUUCCAAGUCUGCAGUGAUGAGGUUCAAGAAGUUUUUCCUCCAGGAGAGCCCUGUUUUCUAUGUCCAGACAUUACAAGACCCCAGCAAAGCUCUGGUCUUGGAGGAGGCCACCUUGUCGUGGCAACAGACCUGUCCCGGGAUCGUCAAUGGGGCACUGGAGCUGGAGAGGAACGGGCAUGCUUCUGAGGGGAUGACCAGGCCUAGAGAUGCCCUCGGGCCAGAGGAAGAAGGGAACAGCCUGGGCCCAGAGUUGCACAAGAUCAACCUGGUGGUGUCCAAGGUAGCCUUGUUCAGGCCAUGCAGGCAGGCCAGCUGCCAGGCUCUCAGGACCUGAGGCUAGGAGCUUGGCCAGGUGCCCCACCAUUUCCUUGGUUAAAAUCUGCCCUCUCCAAGGUCUCUCCCCUUAAAAUUCAAAUUUUUCAUGGAGGGCAAACACAGGAUAUCGUUCAUUUUUUAAUGUGAAUUAAUCUAUCAUUUAAAAUUUUUUUGGCUUAGGUAAGACCCAAAAUAAUAUGAGAGUACUGUGUGCUUGUCCUUGGAAGAACUAAGGACACAGAAAGGAGAAGGGAAAGGAGACCCAGCUAACAUUUAUUACAUUCCUCGUAUGUGCCAAGCACUAUCCUGUGUUUGAAUUUGGUUAUUCUGUGAACUCACCUUAUCUGGUUCUUUCUCUGCCUAAUGUUUACAAAGAUUAGCUUCCUGCUGUCUCCCUUCGCCCCUCCUCUUUUCUUCUCUGUUAUCUAUUAAUGUAGAUAUUGAUAUCUUAUAAUAAUUGAUAUAGAAUAGAUAUAGAUAUUGAUCUAUAUAUAAUGAUAAAUGUCUAAAAAAUAGAUAAUAUCUAGUAGUAAUAGGUGUUAAUAUCUAAUAUCUACUGUCUCUUAUCUAUUUAUACUUUCUUCCUUGGUGAUCAUCUCUAGCCCUGCGGUUUUAAAUUCUAUCUCUGUGCUAUUAUCUCUAGCCUUGAAGUAUCUUCUGGACUCCAGACUCAACUGCCUAUUUAAUAUCUCUCUUAAAUGUCCAUCAAGCAUUUAAAAUGAAAUAAGGUUUUGAUAUUCACCCCCUUUGACGAGUUCCCCAAAUCUUCCGUUUCCUGGGAGAUGGCACCAUCAUCCUUCCAGUGGUUGAGGACCUGGAAGUCACACUUGAUUCCUUUCCUUCCCUCCCUCGAAUCCAAUCCACCAGCAAGGCCUGUCAGCUUGACUUCCACACCUGCCCCAAACCUGCCACCCUCACCAUAGCCCCUCCACUGCCCUAUCCCUGCCACUGUCACGCCGCUCCCAGAACCUCCUCAUCCACCUCUCUGCUCCCACUUUCGCCUUCUUAUGAGCCUUCUACCAUACAGCAGACAGAGGGAUUUUCCUUUUUUAAAUAAUUAAUAUAUAUUUUUUAUUUCAAUAGCUUUUGGGGUACGAGUGGGUUUUGGUUAGACGGAGGAGUUGUAUUGUGGUGAAGUCGAGAUUUUAGUGCACCCGUGACCCGAUAGAGUGCAUUGUACCCAAUAGGUAGUUUGUAUCUCUCGCCCCACUCCCAUCCUCUGUCUCUCUGACCCUCCAAAAUCCAUUAUACCAGGGGACCCCGACACCUGGGCGGUAGACCCGCACUGGUCCACAGCCUGUUAGAAACCAGGCCGCACAGCAGGAGGUGAGCAGCAGGCCAGUGAGCAUCACCGCCUGAGCUCCGCCUCUUGUCAGAUCAGCGGCAGCAUUAGAUUCUCAUAGGAGAGCGAACCUUAUUGUGAAGUGUGCAUGAGAGGGAUCCAGGUUGCACACUCCUUAUGAGAAUCUUGCCUGAUGAUCUGAGGUGGGACAGUUUCAUCCUGAAACCAAUCCCCUGCCAUCCCUCAGUUGGUGGAAAAAUUGUCUUCCAUGAAACUG
rnacentral:sRNA from 1 species